rnacentral:rRNA from 1 species
UACGUAGGGGUCGAGCGUUGUCCGGAGUUACUGGGCGUAAAGCGUGCGCAGGCGGUUCGGAAAGAGAGGUGUGAAAUCCCAGGGCUUAACCUUGGAACUGCACUUCUAACUACCGGGCUAGAGUACGUCAGAGGGGGGUAGAAUUCCACGUGUAGCAGUGAAAUGCGUAGAGAUGUGGAGGAAUACCGAUGGCGAAGGCAGCCCCCUGGGAUGAUACUGACGCUCAUGCACGAAAGCGUGGGGAGCAAACAGG